AGUCCUAUUCUGCAAGCGCAGCGCUGCAAAAAGCCUGCGGCGCUCUGAGGCGCCUGGUCCUGGGGACCUCUUUCCACUCUUUACUCUCAAGAUAGGAGGAUGGGUCUGGGGGAUUGUUUUUGGUUUUCUGGUUUUGUUUUACUCUGGUUUGGUCGGUUUUGUAUUUUUCUAUUUUUCCUUUUUUUCCCUUUUUUCUUUUUUGAUUUUUCUUUCCCGUUAUUCUCCCAGCCAAAAGCUACCUUCGACCCUUUUGAUUUGAUGUAGCAAAGAGUGUGUGUCCAGAUUAUCUGAAAUUGACACUGAAGAAGCCGGUCUUCAACAUCCUUUUGGUUCCUGAGCGUCAGCCCUGCCCUGAUGCACCUGUUCCUGAGCCCCCUUCCUGGGGAACCCUCGCCAGGCAUUCUCUCCUUACCCUUCCAAUUCAGGUAGGAAUCAGACACCUUGGGGGUCAAUGGAGCAAGGCAGGAAGAAAAAGCCCAAUGGGGCACCUCACAGGCCUCUGACGAUACCCUGGUGUUUCUGGGGUACAGGGUCUCCAUUCUAUCACCGAUAAGUUGAUAAGUCGCUGACCCUGUAUGAACUGUCUCCAGAGGCGGGAACCUGGCCUGGCCCCCUGGCACAGCCUCACACAGCACAAGAGAGCAGUUCUUUCAAGAAAUCAUAAUUUUACUGUCUCAAAGAAACUUUAUAACUUAUUUACAAAGUUUUUUUCCCAAGAUACAAAGCAAUA
rnacentral:lncRNA from 1 species